UUUAUUAAUAACGGUACACAUUUUUUAUGUGUUUUAUGUAUGCUGAACACAUUUGCAGAAUGUACAAUAUUAUUCGUUUUAGAGUAUUCUUAGCACACAUGUACAGAGCAAUUUUUUUUUGUUAAAAUGACAGGAAAUUAAGUAUUAUAAGUAAGAUAAGUCAUUCAUUGACCAACAAAUUAACAGUGAAAUUUUCACUUUGACGCAAAGAUGAAAGUACAAAAGCUAUAUUUGAAUUAAAGUUUUUGAAAUUUUAAAAGAUUUUAGAACCAUUAGUAUACUGCCGAACAUGCCAUUAAAUUCGAAAAUUUGUUGGAUACCAAACAUCCAAUUUAAGUCGUGAAAAGUGAGGCCUAGCUGCAAGGAAACCACAAGUCCUGCGAACUGUUUUGGAAGCUGACAAGAAGGAAGCCAUUGAUGCAUAUGUCAAAUGGAUUAUACGAGACUGUCGUCCAUUUAAAUGCGCCGAAGGACUUGGUUUUAGAUAUAUGAUUAGGUUUUUCAUCAAGAUUUGUGCAACGUACAGUGCAAAUAUUGACAUCGAAGCCUUGCUGCCUGAAGUCACUACUAUUUCUGGCAAAGCGCACAGAGAUGUAGAAUAUAAAAAAGCUACGCUAAACAAACAGAUAAAGGAGAUAGUUUUGAAGUGGUCCGACAAUUGUGUUCAACGGUACUUUUUAGGUAAGGAGCCUGAGGAUGGACAGAUAACAGUGAAAUUUUGAAGUUUUUCGUGGUGAAUCCGACUGUCAGAAUUUUUCCCAGUUCCCGAGUUAGGUAAAAUUUUGACAACUUAUAAAUAUGAAUACAGAUAUGCAUUCAGAAAUAAACAAAUUUAAAAGAUCCACUUCAUACAUAACAAGUAUGUCAUAAAAUACGUUAUUAAUUGGUAAUUAUUCAUUAGUUUAUGUUAAUAUUUAUUCUAUUCAAUACACCUCCUUUUGAAUUUUUAUAAUUUAGCCGAAAUAUUGCAAAUUGUAGUUGAUUAAAAGAUCUUAAUGUAAAUGUAUUUGUGUGUAUAUAUGUAUGAAGAUAUAAUUAUGUAUGUACAUACCUGUACCGAUUUAUCAAUGCAAGUAGCGUCGUAGUAGUCUAGCCCGUUGACUUAAAUUUUCAAUUAAUUACAAAUCUACAAAUUAAUGAAUUUUUCUGGUUUCUGGUUUACAAAUAUAUUUAAUAAUUUAAGUAACAAGGCAAACACCUAAUCGACGUAGUUGGGUUUAUUUUGAACUUCAAGUGUCAAAAUUUUUGGCACAGCAAAAUGUAAUAUUUGUUUACACCACAGACAAUUUUUCACCAUAGAGAAAAAUUUUACCGUUUGUCACACAGCCUAGCAAGCCGAUAAUUGAUCAAAAUAUAAGAUAUGCAAUUAUCAUAAAAAUAAGAGCACAUUCCACAAUUUCACUUCACUUGAAGCCAUCAAAAUUGGCUGAGAUAUCCAGGGCAACCUUGGAGUCUAUUUUUUGUGUACCCUUGCUUAUCUAAACCAGCCUUAUAAAUUCUAGCAAAAUCGGAUAGAGCUUUUUCCUUGGCAGAUAACAUUAUGACUGAGAAGCGGAACCGAUUAGGGCCGACAUCAUAAAGGCAGUAGUCUGGUAACGUGAAUAUUUUAUUUCGAAAAAAAUAAAAUUCAAUCAGUUUCAUUUUGUUAUAUAUAAUUUCAGAGAGUACAAAAAAAUUAUUUGUCUUUUUGUUUUUGUUGAAAUUUGUUGUUUCGUAGCACUCAAGUGAGCGUCUAAAAAAAGGUGACUGGCCCCAGUGAUUUGAUCGCUUGAGGACAUCUGAAAUAGAAAAAUCAAAAAGAUUGUUAUGUGAGCUUGUCAUUCCGGUUGCAACUAGGAUUAAACAAUCUUGUUGAAAAAUAAAAACAAGAUCCUAGAUUCCCAGAGCUAUUGAUGAGUCGAAUAACAUAUUCAAAUUUCAGUUAAUCGGUUGGAUAUGAUCAUCCGAGCCGGCUGUAGGAACGUUGUUCCGAGAAAAACGCUUUUAAAGUUUCAACAACAGAAUAAAUAUGGUUUUAUUUAUAUGCGUACUACUACGAGAUGCUUACGUAUAUUUUGUAUAACUUCGUUAUUAUUAAAAUUUUCAUUCUAAAA